AGGUAAUGUCUGGGAAACGUACCGGACUGAGGGGGAUAACUACUGGAAACGGUAGCUAAUACCGCAUAACGUCGCAAGACCAAGAGGGGACCUUCGGGCCUCUUGCCAUCGGAUGUGCCCAGAUGGGAUUAGCUAGUAGGUGGGGUAACGGCUCACCUAGGCGACGAUCCCUAGCUGGUCUGAGAGGAUGACCAGCCACACUGGAACUGAGACACGGUCCAG
rnacentral:rRNA from 1 species